UUGUGUUCAACCCAAGCCUGGGACGGAGACCGAACUUCCUCUUCCAAUUUCGGCCACCUAUGAUCAACGGACCACUGGUAUUAGGACCAUCUCGCGAAUCCUAUAGCUUGGGUUUCCACCAAUGAGCUCCAACGAAGCCAAUUCGAAGCUGAGAAAUUUCUACGGUUCCAACUGCUCUUCUGCAUUUUCCGGCGACUCCGGUAGCUGAUGACGACAUGCAAGUUCACUACUCGCAGCGAGUGUCUCCUGUUCUUACCGGUUAAAGAAGAAACUUGAACCUCUACAGUUUAAUUGGAAGAGUCAUAUAUGGAGAAUCGAUUGAGACUACUUCGAAUCAAGGUAAACCAUUCUCGGCAUAUCCUUGUGAUUUUGAAGUUGGGUUGUCAAUCUGAACUAACUGCCAUGUUGUAAAUUGAAUGGUUGAGUUUGGAGGAAAACGCAGAAAUACGAAGGGAAUGGGACCCAGAAGCUUGAGGAUGAAGAGAAGUGGGAACCUAUAUUUUUAGGCUCUGCUCGUGGAUUAUUAAUGAAGAUUUCACAUGAAAGGUUGCUGCAAGUUGUUACAUACUCCAAAACCCAAAUUGGGUUUUAGACAAAAAGCUGAAUUAUAAAAGUUACCUGGAAUGCAAGUUUACUCAUAAAACAAGCUAUGGUCAUGUUGACCUACAAAAGCAAAUGAAGUCAAAGUUGCAAUAUUCUAGAAUUUGGUUUUUAUUGCAUUUUCUAUGAGUUAUUGUUUGAUGACCUGAGAGUGAGAGGAGUAUAGCGACUUCCUUGGGCUUCGAUCCCCUAAACCUCCAGAGGGGCUGUAUGGACUGAAGAGUGUCUGACAUCCGUUGAGAUGUGGCACUGCUUCUAGGUGAUACGGCGUAAGUGGACACUCUCGCUACACCUUGCCGGUGUAAACGAUAUUAAUUGUGUUUGUGGAUGCAGGUACUGUGUAUGAAGACGGGACAGGUGGAUGAUGCUAAUUGUGGCUUAGUUACCUUCUACUUUAAAUGGUCAUCGACGGAGUUAGAUCCGCGUGACAGGUUAACUUAUUUCCUUUACUCCUGUGUAACUUGUUUACCAAGGUUGUGAUUAUUUGUAAAAUACCUUUUUCAUAUAUUCUUUCGGACUUUGGCCUUGAACCAGACUAACAUUCGAUAAUUAUUUUGAAAUUACUUGUAUUUGUUUUCUUUAAAGGACUUCCGAUGGUUUUAUAGUUUUCACCUCACUUAGACAACUGCUUC